AGGGAGAGACACACCAUCAAUCAAUUUAGUGGGUGUGUGUGGUCUAUUUACAAUGACACUACAUAUGUCAUACUCAAGUACCUGAAUGAAAAUUCUCAUCCGAGCUUUCUAAUAGGUAUAGUUUGAUCCAUUGAAAAGUGGAGGUCGGUUUGUGAAUUGCCCCUCGGUUAGGAAUGUGUCAAAUUGAGCUAUUAUAGAUCUUUAGCUCUUG
rnacentral:lncRNA from 1 species